GACUGGGUGGCCAAGUUGGCUAAGGCGUGAGACUGUUAUUCGGUAAUUACCUAGGUAAUAACUUGGCAUCUCAAGAUCGAGAGUUCGAGCCUCUCCCUGGUCG
rfam:Candida albicans SC5314 chromosome 1 sequence.